rnacentral:rRNA from 1 species
ACGAACGCUGGCGGCGUGCUUAACACAUGCAAGUCGAACGGUGAAGCGCCUUCCUUUUUGGUGGGUGUGGAUGAGUGGCGAACGGGUGAGUAACACGUGAGUAACCUGCCCCCUUCUUCUGGAUAACCGCAUGAAAGUGUGGCUAAUACGGGAUAUUCUGGGUCUGUCGCAUGAUGGGUCUGGGAAAGAUAUUGUUUCGGUGGGGGAUGGGCUCGCGGCCUAUCAGCUUGUUGGUGGGGUGAUGGCCUACCAAGGCGGUGACGGGUAGCCGGCCUGAGAGGGUGGACGGUCACACUGGGACUGAGACACGGCCCAGACUCCUACGGGAGGCAGCAGUGGGGAAUAGUGCACAAUGGGCGCAAGCCUGAUGCAGCGACGCCGCGUGAGGGAUGGAGGCCUCCGGGUUGUGAACCUCUUUCGCCAGUGAAGCAGGCCUGCCUCGUUUGUGGGUGGGUUGACGGUAGCUGGAUAAGAAGCGCCGGCUAACUACGUG